rnacentral:lncRNA from 1 species
UAUUAUAAAUUGUAUGUAAAACAAUUAUUUUAAACUACUACUACAGCUUCUAGAAUCUUGGGUUUUCGUUAAAUAUUUUUAAAAAUAAAAGUUUAACCUUGAAAACUCACUCAAGAUUGACAUCCUUAUCUAAAAUUUUGAAACUCUUGUUUCUAAAGCCUGUGGUUCAUAAUAGUCGGGAAUCAGCACCCCGAAAUUCGAUCAUGUACUGUGCACUCGAAGAUAUACUUUUGAAAAAAUAUGUACUAUGUGAGGAAUGAGUUCACGGAUGCAAAUCUGGAGGGCUCCAUUAAAUUAGCAAUUGCAAAAAAGAAUAAAAAAAUAUUUUUCCAUUAUUUUGAUUUAUCGUAAAAAAACAAUUUUUAGUGUUUAACUCGCGAUUGUGACGCCGUUUUUCAAUAUUUUUUCAAAAUUCUUGCAGCAUUCGAAAGCCUAAUUAUUCUAGAUUUCAACGCAAUAACAAAAAAAAACAUUGUGUUUAUACAGAAUUUUUCAGAUUAUUUAAAAGGAGGCGCGGUAUCAAACCUGAGGCGAACAUUUCAACAUUGAGCAAAUUUUUGAACGGUUGAAGAUAGAUAUAUGAUUAAUCGAAUGACGAAAAAUGUGCCAAAAUGGAACGGAAAAGUUUUUGGUGAAAAAAAAAAUUAUCUACUGGUAACGGUUUGCGAAAUACGAUUUUUUUUGUCAAGUGCUGAAACAUCAACGCCACGGUAUAACGCGACGUAUUACAUCAUCCUCGCGGCUGGUGUUAUGUUAUGUGCAGUAUUAUCGGGACUCUUGGCCCUUGGGAUAGUAAGUUUACCAGCUGUAGGCAAUAAAAUAAGUACAAUAGUUAAUUUCCUUUGUUAACCCAAAAUAAGCAAUGAAGCGUCCACAUAGUAUUGGAAAAGAAUCUCUCAAUUACAACCUGUGCAUAAUAUGCCAAGAAACUUCCCACGAAACUGUUCAGAAAUUGACUAGACAAGGUUAUCCUGCAUUAUUUAAUUCAGCCAGGUUGAAAUUUGAUGAUGAUAUCUCAGAUUUAUUAAAAAUGGAAAUGACGAAUGAGGAUGAAUUUAUUGCGAAAAAUCCUGUAUACCAUGCUCAAUGUCGGCGAAAAUAUAAUAUGCAAUAUUAUAAACCGGAAGAAAAUGUUACAAAGGUUAAUAAAAAAAGUAAGAUAGAGAAACUACCUCGAGAAAAACUGUUACAGCAAGAUUUAUGCUUUGUCUAUCAAACAUUUCUUCAUUUUCGCGACAAAACGAAAUUUGGAAGAAAGCCAAUAAGGAAUUUGCCACCUAUACCGAGGAUGCAUUUCAUCAGCAUAUAUUAAGAGCUGAUGCGUAUCAAUUGAUUGUCUGGAAGAGCGCUAUUUUAAUAAACCCAGAAAUUCCCAACCCCGUUGAUUUUGGUUGGGAUUUAAAAGAAAAUAAUUUACUCGUUCCAAAAUUGACCACAAUAAGUAUUCGUCCCGAUGCAAAAUUCGAAAAUGUGUGCUGCAAAUGCAAACUUCAAUGUACUAAAAAUUGUAGUUGUUUAAAAGCAGGGCUAGAUUGUAUAAUAGGUUGUUAUUGCGAGGGUGGGUGUUCUUUAAAUUUAAAUUAAGUUAGUUUAGUGACCUACCCAAAUAUAUUGAUAUAUUUUUUUAGCCUGAUAUAGUUUAUAACGUAACCACUCCGAAGUAAAUUUAUUUUUUAUUUUUGUGUUAUCAUUAUCCUAUAGUUGUUUUUAUUAUAAUAUACAAAUGAAUUGUGUCGAUAUAAAUUAUUCGUUUAAAUAAAUAUAUUUGUUUCUCUA